rnacentral:rRNA from 1 species
GACAGAGGGUGCAAACGUUGUUCGGAAUUACUGGGCGUAAAGCGCGUGUAGGCGGCUCGGAAAGUCGGAUGUGAAAGCCCUGGGCUUAACCUAGGAAGUGCAUUCGAAACUCCCGAGCUUGAGUUCUGGAGAGGAAGGCGGAAUUCUCGGUGUAGAGGUGAAAUUCGUAGAUAUCGAGAGGAACACCGGUGGCGAAGGCGGCCUUCUGGACAGUGACUGACGCUGAGACGCGGAAGCGUGGGGAGCAAACAGG